GAUCCAGCGGGAGGCGGGGCCACGUGACCGUGCGUGACGUCAGGGCCGCGGCGGAGCCGGCCAAACUCAAGUUGGUUCAGGGAAUUGUCAACAAAGGGACGAGAGACGCGCAACUCCGCUCCGCACGCAUCAGCUGGGGUUCCCGAAGGUCAGAAAAUGGCUAUUGAUUAAUCUAUUAGAAUAGUUGCCUAGAGGAA